CCUGACUGUCCCCCUCACCAGGCUCUGGGGAGGAAAGGGAGCCCAUGGCAGACCAGACCCCUGGCCGGCCAGGGUCCCCGGGGUCUGCGAGGAGGACGUUCAUGGGCGAGUGUGUGGUGGUGGGUGAACUGCGGCAGAACCCGAGAUUAACAGCUGGAACCCUCUCCUCUUGCAGAUGAGGAAACCAGGGAAAUCAAGGGUGUUUGAGUGACUGACCGAAAGUCACACAGCUAGGAAGUAAAGGAGCCAGGAUACAGGCCCAGAGCUCUGGUUUUAUCUGAAACCAAAACCAGAAGUUCCUCUUCCAGCUGCCCACCACCUCUCUGAGUAUCAGCCCUGCUAAUGACAAUGAUAACAUCAGCUCUGCAGCAUCGUUCUAAGCACUGUACGUUAAUGCGAUCAGUUAAUAAAAGCAUCUUGCCUUAA
rnacentral:lncRNA from 1 species